rnacentral:rRNA from 1 species
AGAGUUUGAUCCUGGCUCAGGACGAACGCUGGCGGCGUGCCUAAUACAUGCAAGUCGAGCGAGGUAGAGAGAGCUUGCUCUUUCUACCUAGCGGCGGACGGGUGAGUAACACGUAGGCAACCUGCCUGUAAGCCUGGGAUAACUCCGGGAAACCGGAGCUAAUACCAGAUAACCCGUUAGACCGCAUGGUCUAGCGAUAA